rnacentral:rRNA from 1 species
AUUGAACGCUGGCGGCAUGCCUUACACAUGCAAGUCGAACGGCAGCACGGGAGCAAUCCUGGUGGCGAGUGGCGAACGGGUGAGUAAUAUAUCGGAACGUGCCCAGUCGUGGGGAUAACGUAGCGAAAGCUACGCUAAUACCGCAUACGAUCUAUGGAUGAAANCGGGGGAUCGCAAGACCUCGCGCGAUUGGAGCGGCCGAUAUCAGAUUAGGUAGUUGGUGAGGUAAAGGCUCACCAAGCCGACGAUCUGUAGCUGGUCUGAGAGGACGACCAGCCACACUGGGACUGAGACACGGCCCAGACUCCUACGGGAGGCAGCAGUGGGGAAUAAUUGGACAAUGGCGAAAGCCUGAUCCAGCCAUGCCGCGUGUGUGAAGAAAGGUCUUCGG